CCCGGGAGCAGGGGACCACCAGGUUGCCUAAGGAGGGGUGAACCGGCCGAGGUUGGAAACGGAGCAGGUCAAGAAUUUUAGGGGGGCU
ensembl:miRNA